ACCAGCGGGCCGCCCCUGGCCCGGGGAAGUCCUCUUUUGCGAUUCAUUCUCCCCGGGGGACCGCUCGCCGUCGGUGUUAGAGCGCGGGGGCGGGGGCGGGGCAGAGAGACGGAUGCCGGAGGGACAGGUGGACGGGCUGCCUCCCGCCCGCGCCGGAGCCGGAGCCGGAGCCGGAGCCGGAGCCGGAGCCGCCGGGGCUGGAAGCGAUCCCGGUGAAGAAAAUGUUCCAUGUGCACUGAAAAGAAGGCAUAUUCUGCUGUUUGGGGUGAAAUGCUCUAAAGAUAUCAAUUAGAUCCAUCUGACCUGGUGUGCCAGGUGAGGAUUAACAACAACAACAACAAAAAGCUGUGGGACAUUUACACAUGGA